AGAGUUUGAUCCUGGCUCAGAGUGAACGCUGGCGGCGUGCUUAACACAUGCAAGUCGAACGAGAACGGGUUAUAGCUUGCUAUAAUUGACAGCUAAGUGGCGCACGGGUGAGUAAUGUAUAGGUAAUAUGCCUUUUACUAAGGGAUAACAAUUGGAAACGGUUGCUAAUACCUUAUAUACUGUUUAACAGAAGUUAAAUAGGGAAAGAUUUAUCGGUAAGAGAUUGGCCUGUAUUGUAUCAGUUAGUUGGUGGGGUAAUGGCUCACCAAGACUAUGACG
rnacentral:rRNA from 1 species